GGGACAGAGAGAAAGGGAGAGAGAGACUCCCAAGCAGGCUCUGUGCUGUCACCGUAAAGCCUGAUGCUGGCUUUGAUCCCAUGAACGUUGAGAUCAUGACCCGAGCUGAAAUCAAGAGUCAGAUGCUUAACUGACUGAGCCACACAGGCACCCCAUGUAAUAAGGUAUUGUUUCCAUGGAAACAAGGCCCAAAGUUCCACUCUAACCAACAGAACUGAUAGGAUGGAAGUAUGUCAGGGAGGGGUACUUGUCCAAUCCUGGGCCUGAGUUAUGCACUGACUGAGGAAGCCAGCUUCCUGUGGACUGGCCCAAGGUAAAUAGGCAUCUGAGAGCCGCACUGCUGUGGUGGAGUGGUGUCAGACAGAUCUAGAUGCACAUCUCACUGCUGCCACUUAAGCUUCGUCUAAUAUGUUUGGAGAGGAAAACGUUGUGAGGACACAUAGGAGAACACCAUGUGAAGAUGGAGGGUUGGCCUGAUGCAUCUGUCCUACUGAUGGAAGAACAAGCCAAAAUGUGGGAGGAAGAAAUGGAAACAACAGACAGCUGGGUGUUGCUAUAGAAUUUCGUAACUGGAAGGUGUCUCCUGGUCACUUUUGGGUCAGAAACUGUAGCUUGGAGACUCUAGGUCACCACUGCCCAGCCAGAAUGAGGAUCUCCUUCCUGAACAGAUGGCCUGGGACUUAGCCUCUCCAGGAGGAACGAUAGUCUUGACUAAAAUCAGUGCCUCUCUGAGUGUGGCCUCGCUGCAGGUGCUGCCCCCGGACAACAAAUAGAAAACUGGAACAGCAAACAACAAAGACCAAUUACUUCAGUUAGAGGUGGCUGCCAUUAUCAUUCUCAAUUGACAUAUGAGGAUACGAGCUCAGAGAAGUUAAAUAACUUGUCAAAGGUCACCCAUCUUUUGAGAGCAAAACCCAGGAUGCAACCCCUGCUUGCCAGUCCAGUCCUAAAACCUGUGGUCCGUCCCACUUCUCCAUGGUGCUUCUUAUGUAGCAGGAAGAUGUCUUUGACAGAGGAGACCAACGUUGCUGUGUCCAACCUAUUUCUUCUAUCAUCUCUGCAGGUUCAUAAACUGCAAAUACUGCUCUUUGUUUGAACACUGUAGAAGACACUGACGCACCAGAGCUGUACCAUAUGAUUACCGUUGGCCAGCUGCCACCAUGCUUAAUCAUGGCCAGCACUGUCCAAGAUGGGCAUUGGCCCUCUGGUUCCUGCUGUGUGAAGUCAGAUGAGGAUUCCAGCAUAUGCGCUCUUUUCAACAAGAGGGCUCUUUCCAGCAAAGCCACGCCUGGUUUCUGUGUUUUGAAAAUAAUGAAUGUAAAACCACAAGAAAAAAAUUAUAUCCUUCAAAUCAAUAAGAACCAAACAGAUUUUUUCCUCCCACCGGGUAAUAGCCAACUAGUUAGGAAGUUCAGCAUCUGGCUUCUGAUUUGAAGUGUAAAACUGAUUGACUUGCUGUUAAAAUUAGAUGUGAAGAGGGGAAGGCAGAUAGAUACUCCAUAAUCAUUUUGAACUGAGCUAUUGAAGGUUAGAAAACAAAAAAAUUUUUAAAUGUGUCUUUGCCUAAUUAAAAACAAACUCUGGGAACAAAAUCGAAUCAGGUAGCUUAUUUACAGAGAAAAAACCCCAUCUCUUACUGUC